GCUUGCCAGAGCUCCCUGGCAAAGGUAAAUAUUCAAGAGCUUAAUGUUAGUCUAGAGCAGGUUUGGCGCUGGGUUCCUGAAGAGCAGCAGAGUUUUAAGCGAGGUGAGGAGACGCUGCGUGAGGGGAAUGCGGACAAACGGCACGGGCCCAGCGCCAGGGGGAAAAGAGAAAUAAAUUUAAGCUGUGGCUUGAGGGUAUGGACGGCAACUUCACGCGAUAAAGGCGCAUUCGAGGACGCAAGCAGCAUACUCAAAGCUGAUUGGGUAAACGUGACCUUGAGUGAGAAUUUAUCCACGCGCGCACACGCACAAAGGGGAGUUUGCAGGUAAAUUAAUUUAUACUACAAAGAUGUUAUCCAGUGCAGCUAUACAACAUACCAC